rnacentral:rRNA from 1 species
AACGAACGCUGGCGGCAUGCCUAGCACAUGCAAGUCGAACGAGAUCUUCGGGUCUAGUGGCGCACGGGUGCGUAACGCGUGGGAAUCUGCCCUUUGGUUCGGAAUAACAGUUGGAAACGACUGCUAAUACCGGAUGAUGACGAAAGUCCAAAGAUUUAUCGCUAGAGGAUGAGCCCGCGUAGGAUUAGCUAGUUGGUGUGGUAAAGGCGCACCAAGGCGACGAUCCUUAGCUGGUCUGAGAGGAUGAUCAGCCACACUGGGACUGAGACACGGCCCAGACUCCUACGGGAGGCAGCAGUGGGGAAUAUUGGACAAUGGGCGAAAGCCUGAUCCAGCAAUGCCGCGUGAGUGAUGGAGGCCUUAGGGUUGUAAAGCUCUUUUACCCGGGAUGAUAAUGACAGUACCGGGAGAAUAAGCUCCGGCUAACUCCGUGCCAGCAGCCGCCGUAA